GACGAACGCUGGCGGCGUGCUUAACACAUGCAAGUCGAACGGAAAGGCCCUGCUUUUGUGGGGUGCUCGAGUGGCGAACGGGUGAGUAACACGUGAGUAACCUGCCCUUGACUUUGGGAUAACUUCAGGAAACUGGGGCUAAUACCGGAUAGGAGCUCCUGCUGCAUGGUGGGGGUUGGAAAGUUUCGGCGGUUGGGGAUGGACUCGCGGCUUAUCAGCUUGUUGGUGGGGUAGUGGCUUACCAAGGCUUUGACGGGUAGCCGGCCUGAGAGGGUGACCGGCCACAUUGGGACGGAGAUACGGCCCAGUCUCCUACGGUAGGCAGCAGUGGGGAAUAUUGCACAAUGGGCGGAAGCCUGAUGCAGCAACGCCGCGUGCGGGAUGACGGCCUUCGGGGUGUAAACCGCUUUCGCCUGUGACGAAGCGUGAGUGACGGUAAUGGGUAAAGAAGCACCGGCUAACUACGUG
rnacentral:rRNA from 1 species